rnacentral:lncRNA from 1 species
CUUCACGUUACUGUCAUUUUAUUCCACGUGACUUGCUUAACCGGAACAAAACUAGUCGGCAUUCCCUGGAUGGAGCAGAUGCUGGAAAAUUCCACGUCGAGGCCUAAUGCACUAUUCAGAGGGCACAUCAGCCGAUCAGCAGGCCAGCUGGGCCGGCUGGUAGUUCCUGGAGGAAGACAUUGGAAUGGAUGGGUCCACCAAGGGAUCCUGCCCCGAGGAAGCAUAGAGCAUGGAACAUUCCAGCGAGGACAGGUGGAAGAUGGUGUGUGGCCAUUGACUGGAAGCAGGUGGGUGAGCGAAGGGACCACCUGGGGGGGAUCUGCUACCGAUAAGGACCUCAAAGGGGAGAGAAGGGGGCGCCGGGGAGAGCGUGGUUUUCGGAGUGCCGCCAGAUUUUCCAUAGGAAAGUGCAUCAUCUUUAGAUUAAAAAAAACAAACAAACUCAAGGUCAGAUCCGAACCUCACGGGGGCGCUUUUCGCUCAUUAA